rnacentral:lncRNA from 12 species
AUGCAAGUGAGGAGGACAAUGAGAGGCCUGAACUUGAAGGUGGAGCUAGGACCAUCUCAACAACACUCCCAGGUUCUGAGUCCUGUUCAUGAGCCUUCAUUCUGCAUCAGUAACCAUCUCCACCAACCCCUGUCUCUGGUCUUUACUACAGGUAAACCACUCUGCUCGUUGUUGGCAACCAACCAUGACCCACAGACAAAAAUAGACCAGCUGGCCUCUACAAGCACUUUGCCUUCACUGAUGAGAAACAAACGCCCAUUUGGUUUACUUUCCCUUCAAAAGUCCAGGAAGCCUCUUGACAGAAGCCUCUCUCAUCAAUGCAAAGGAGACACACCACAGACAGACCCAAGACACCGCCUCUGAUACUUAAUGCCAUGUUGUGUUGUGUUGUCCAAGCACAGCUGCAGAGCCUGGGCUUAGGGGGAGUUUCUGGGGAUGGCCCUGUUUGCCCAAGGCACUGCUGAAGCACUGGCCAUAUGGCUCGUGUGUGGUGGGCUCAACAUUGGUUCUAUGUAGAAGAGUCUCUGGACGAGCUACCAUCUUGGAUAGGCACCCUGGGCUCAGGUUUUCGUCCCUCCAAAUGGCACCUCAUUAGAGGAAAGCACAGUUAAGGCCUCACAUUGGGCACACCUGUUUAUCCAGCUCCAUCUCAGGCCAUGCCCUCCCACUGUGUUUGCUUCUGACAUGCACAGAAAUGAAACACCUGGAGCUGCUUUUGGCCUCAUGCUGCAUAUUGUCACAUUUAAUUCUCAGUCCCAUCCAAUGGAGUCUCCAUUUUAUAAUUAAGGAUCUUGUGGAAUCAGAGAGGUUAAGCAACUUAUUCAAGGAAACAUGACGAAUAAGUGGCCCAGAUAGGACUGGAGCCCAGUUCUUUCUGUCAACAGAACCCAGGCACAUUUCAGUGUGUGACCCAGCCUCCUCGGACAAUGGGCGCUCUCUCACCUCAGCUCACUGUGAUCUAUCAAAGGAGACUCGAACAACUUGAAUGUUUAAAAGCUGUACUACCACUGUCCAUCAGGCGAGUGCACAUGAAGAAACAUUUGCAGAUCAUGCAUGAGACAGAAUAGAGCUUUUUUUCCCAUCAAGGAGAUUCGGAAUCCCUGUUUUCUAGAAAACCUUCUUGGCCCUACCCGAAUCUGCUUAACAUUUAGAACACCAUACCUCCCUUCUUCCCUGUCUUAACCUCCAAAUGAUUUUCCCUUGAGACCAUUAUGGAGCAGUUGCAGAAGCAUUUCGGACCAGUCACACGGCAGCUGCCUACAUGUUUGCAUGGGGGAAACUGUCACAGGAUUUGGGCCCACAGAAGGCAGGGGCCUGAGCUGCCUGCAUCACUCUAGGUAAGGCAGUGAAUCCCAAAUCAGCCCUGAACCAUAUGCAUCUACCCACCGCUCCCUGCCAGCUACCUUUCCAGGGGGAACAACUGAGUCAUCUUCUCAGCCUUCAGUAAGUUCACAUCUUGACCAAAACAAUAGCAGAGUCUCUCCUCGGGAGAUUUUCAGCCUCAGGUGAGAAAAGAAGAGUUCUUUUCAUAGAAUUUUCUCCUUCCGAUCUGCUCUAUAACCAGCUUUUUGGACUUUGGAUUAGAAUUGCCUGCCUGCCUUCUCCCACAUGUGCUCAAAACUUGCCCUCUGUGAACUGUGUGCAGUCUUCAGCCCUCCUGUCAGUGGUUUGGGGCUUGACCAAGGUCUGCGAUGAUCACACAUAAGGCAGAAAGUGGAGGCUUAACUCCAUCACUACUUUUCCUGUUGCUUAGCAUUUGUACAUUUUCAACGGAUGUUAAUCCAGUCUCCCCCAAUAAACAGGAAGAUCAGAAUGUUAGGGAUGGGAGG